CCUACGGGUGGCUGCAGUGGGGAAUAUUGCACAAUGGGGGAAACCCUGAUGCAGCGACGCCGCGUGUGUGAAGAAGUAAUUCGUUACGUAAAGCUCUAUCAGCAGGGAAGAAGAUGACGGUACCUGAGUAAGAAGCCCCGGCUAACUCCGUGCCAGCAGCCGCGGUAAUACGUAGGGGGCAAGCGUUAUCCGGAUUUACUGGGUGUAAAGGGAGCGCAGACGGUGCGGCAAGUCAGGAGUGAAAUGCCGGGGGUUAACUGCGGAACUGCUUUGGAAACUGGCGAGCUAGAGUGCAGGAGGGGGAGGCGGAAUGCCAAGUGUAGCGGUGAAAUGCGUAGAUAUUAGGAGGAACACCGGUGGCGAAGGCGGCCUACUGGAC
rnacentral:rRNA from 1 species